rnacentral:rRNA from 1 species
AAUAGAUACCCCGGUACGUCCUAGCCGUAAACGAUGAGCACUGGGUUGAAGGGGUCCUCCAUAGCCUUUCAGCCGUAGCGAAAGUGUUAAGUGCUCCGCCUGGGGAGUAUGGUCGCAAGGCUGAAACUCAAAGAAAUUGACGGGGGGCUCACACAAGCGAUGGAGGAUGUGGCUUAAUUCGAGGCUACGCGAAGAACCUUAUCCUAGUCUUGACAUGCACGGAUUAACUCCCUGAAAGGGGAGCCACGCCUUCGGGUGGAACGUGCACAGGUGCUGCAUGGCUGUCGUCAGCUCGUGCUGUGAAGUGUCGGGUUAAGUCCCUUAACGAGCGAAACCCUUGUCGCUAGUUGCCAGCGAGUCAUGUCGGGGACUCUAGCGAGACCGCCGGUGUUAAACCGGAGGAAGGUGGGGAUGACGUCAAGUCCUCAUGGCCUUUAUGACUAGGGCUGCACACGUCCUACAAUGGCAUGCACAAAGGGACGCAAAGUCGCGAGCCAAGCAAAUCCCAAAAAACAUGCCCCAGUUCGGAUUGCG